GACGAACGCUGGCGGCGUGCUUAACACAUGCAAGUCGAACGGAAAGGCCCUGCUUUUGUGGGGUGCUCGAGUGGCGAACGGGUGAGUAACACGUGAGUAACCUGCCCUUGACUUUGGGAUAACUUCAGGAAACUGGGGCUAAUACCGGAUAGGAGCUCCUGCUGCAUGGUGGGGGUUGGAAAGUUUCGGCGGUUGGGGAUGGACUCGCGGCUUAUCAGCUUGUGGGUGGGGUAGUGGCUUACCAAGGCUUUGACGGGUAGCCGGCCCGAGAGGGUGACCGGGGCACUUGGGCCUGCGGGACGACCCAGACGGCAACGUUCGGCAAUAGGGGGGAACCUGCUCCAGCGGUCCCGAGUUUGAUGCGGAAACCCUCUGUGCGUGAUGACGGCCUGUGUGGUGUAAAACGCGGUAGCCUGAUACCAAGCGGGAGUGACGGUACCGGCUGAAGAAGCACCGGCUAACUACGUG
rnacentral:rRNA from 1 species